GGGAGCUUAGAUGUGGAAGCUCUUUGGAAACCAAGAAACACUCUGAAAAUGAAAAGGGAAGCAGAAGUUCUCCUUAGCUGAUUUUUCUUCUUGCCUUAUACUGGGUUCUUUAACACCAGAACAAAAAUAAAUAAAUAAAAGAAUCUUCCAGAAAUUCAUGAAGAGACUUCAGGUCAGGAAAGCCUGAACUUUCUCAUCCAACACCCGUUCAAGUCGGAGGAUGCUGAUUAAUUCAUGAUGGAAAGGUAUCAAUUUCACAGCCCAGACCUCUACAUUCUUGAAAUGCUCUUCUCAUGGGAGACAUUAAAUAAGCUUUGAAUUAACUGUUUCCUUCUUACUACUCUAGAAAGUAUCACGGCUGACUUUUGGUCACUCUCAUGGCUUGACUCAGAUUCAUCUUCAUGGGUUUGAAUCAUUAUUCUGGCCAAAGGGUUGUAAUAUUGGCAUUAUCCAGGUCUGAGUCACAUGUUCAUCUCAGAAUCAGAUGGAAUGUACAGGGUGUACCAUGAACAAUUCUGACAUGUGAUUUAAUCUAUGUGGGACUACAUUUUAAAUACAUUUGGGAAGGAUUGAACAAUGAAGUGGAGCCCAUCAAUAUUGGUACUGAAAAUGAGACAGACCUUGUAUUGAAGACAGCGUAACCCCCAAGAGGAAAGGAGCUUGGAGCCCUGAAUCAGAGUAGAAGACAGGCUGAAUGAAUACCAGCCUUGGACUGUUGUGUGAAUGAAAAACAAGUUUUGAGAUUUGUGUGGUUUAUUUAUUAUAGUUACUGUUAUUAUUAAAGUUUUUCACUGCUUU
rnacentral:lncRNA from 10 species